rnacentral:rRNA from 1 species
AUUGAACGCUGGCGGCAUGCCUUACACAUGCAAGUCGAACGGUAACAGGUCUUCGGAUGCUGACGAGUGGCGAACGGGUGAGUAAUACAUCGGAACGUGCCCAGACGUGGGGGAUAACGAGGCGAAAGCUUUGCUGAUACCGCAUACGAUCUAAGGAUGAAAGCAGGGGACCGCAAGGCCUUGUGCGUUUGGAGCGGCCGAUGGCAGAUUAGGUAGUUGGUGGGAUAAAAGCUUACCAAGCCGACGAUCUGUAGCUGGUCUGAGAGGACGACCAGCCACACUGGGACUGAGACAUGGCCCAGACUCCUACGGGAGGCAGCAGUGGGGAAUGUUGGACAAUGGGCGAAAGCCUGAUCCAGCAAUGCCGCGUGCAGGAUGAAGGCCUUCGGGUUGUAAACUGCUUUUGUACGGAACGAAAAGGCUCUGGCUAAUACCUGGGGCACAUGACGGUACCGUAAGAAUAAGCACCGGCUAACUACGUG